rnacentral:rRNA from 1 species
UGGGGAAUAUUGCGCAAAUGGGGGGAACCCUGACGCAGCAACGCCGCGUGAAGGAUGAAGGCUUUCGGGUUGUAAACUUCUUUGAUGAGGGACGAAAGAAAUGACGGUACCUCAAAAACAAGCCACGGCUAACUACGUGCCAGCAGCCGCGGUAAUACGUAGGUGGCGAGCGUUGUCCGGAAUUACUGGGUGUAAAGGGCGUGUAGGCGGGGAUGCAAGUCAGAUGUGAAAUGCCGGGGCUUAACUCCGGAGCUGCAUCUGAAACUGUGUUUCUUGAGUGUCGGAGAGGAAAGCGGAAUUCCCAGUGUAGCGGUGAAAUGCGUAGAUAUUGGGAGGAACACCAGUGGCGAAGGCGGCUUUCUGGACGAUAACUGACGCUGAGGCGCGAAAGCGUGGGGGAGCAAACAGGAUUAGAUACCCUGGUAGUCCACGCUGUAAACGAUGGAUACUAGGUGUAGGAGGUAUCGA